AAACAAGAAGCUAUUUAGCAACUAAUUUCGACCUAGUAAUUUGACAUGUAUGUCCUUGUUUA
rnacentral:tRNA from 1 species